AUGAUUUAUUAUAAAGGGUAAAACAAAGGGUUGAAAUCACACUACUAUAUUUUCAUGAUGUCUUUCAUACAAGUUACAAAUAAAAUCAAGCCAUAUUUUAAAGAGAAAACUGAAGAGUUUUGAGUUGAACAUUUAGGAUCAGGGAAAUUGACUUGAUGUCAGGGAGACAGUACAAGAGAGACUGGGCAUCACAAUGGAACAUCAGAUGGUUCAGCUCCCUAAAUUAGUGGAUGUCCCAAGAUUUGACUGUGUCUUAGGACACUUGGAAGCUCAGUGUCUCAACAUGAUGCUUUCCUCAUGCCAUCAUGCAUUUGGACCAUAAUUACUUGCCUCCUUCAUGGCUGUGCAGUAACAACCAUAGAGAGGAGCCAGACAGAGCUAAUGUCAACUCUGAAACAGUAUUAACUUCCAAAUAGAUAGCUGUAGAGGCUAUAGCAUAACAUGUUCCCCAACUCUACCCUCUCCUUGUCCUAUGCCCAAAUUACUAUGGAGGUCUGACAUCACUGAUUUUGAAUAGAGGGAAACUCUGCCCGGGGUUCUGAAAUGAAUAGCUUCAUGUUGGUGGAGAGAAGAAUAUGGCCCUAAAAAUCACAGCAGUGGUUGGAUUAUAGAAACAUCUGCCCAUUGUGACAGACCAGGGGAGGAAUAAUGGAUCCAUAAACAUGGAACAAAGUGGGGAUUUUACACAGAAUUUUGGUGGAACUUCAUCUUGCAUUUACUGAAAUCUCUAGCCAAAUCUGCUCUUGCAUACACUCAUGCAAAAUUAACUGAAGUCAUUGGGGUUGCAUCGUGGUAACUAAGAACAAAAUUUGGCCCUCCAAUUCUGUAAGUAGUCAGUAUGUACAAAAUUAAAGGUUUAAUUUACACUCCCAAAUUGUAAUUAGGUUUUUUGCUGUAAGGGAAAUGAGGAAUGUGGAGAGAGUCUGGGAGCAGCCAUUCCACAUGCCAUGUUGUCCUGAGGAACCUGUGUAAUUUCAGAAAACAAAAUCUUAUGGGAGUUAAUGCCCAUCACAGUAGCAUUAACUUCUGAUCAAUGUCUUCAGUCCCCCUUAGGGGAGUAGAAAUGCACCUUAUGACACCAUGGCUGUGGAACAAACUCUACAAAGGAAAGAGAGGGAUGGAAAGCGCCACUGAGAUGCAGACCACUGUGUGUCUGCGCCAACCUCCCUAGCUAGUGACAGGAUUUCUUGUGGAACAAUGGGCUGAUUGGUCGCCAUGACCCCUGUCUCCUCUAUGUGACCAGGGCCGGCUCUAGGAACCAGCAAAGCAAGCAGUUGCUUGGGGUGGCAAAUUUGCAGGGGCACAAGAAUCCAGCAUGGGAGCUGAGAACCAACAGGGGGCCCUGGGAGCUGUAGUUCCUUGGUUAGUCCCUGCCUAUACAGCCAGCCCUGGAGCAGGGAAAGAACUACAUUUCCCAGCAUUCCCUCUGCCGCAAUUAACAGGAAAGGGAGGGGGAAGGAAUGUGGAACUGAAACCUCAUGCUGCAGCUUGCUGUGAAUGGCCUAAAGAUAGGAAACAAUUGAUGGUAAGUCGUAUGGAUCGGAGAGCUUCGUCGAACGUUGAAGCUUUGAGGAGGCAAUCGUCUAGGUGGCUGGAGACCUAGGGACCGGAGGGUUGCUCUUGCGUUCUUCAUCGAAUGAAGCACGUCGUUCGUGGUGGAGGCAAAAAGUUUUUCCCCGUCAAAGGGAAGAUCUUCAAUGGUGCUCUGAACCUCUCGAGGAAAGAAAGAGGAGGAGAGCCAUGAACCCCGUCGCAUGACCAAUGCUGUGGCGGUCGACCUUGCUGCAGUGUUAGCUACAUCGAGGGCCGCUUGAAGAGCAGUAUGUGAUAUGGUUUGU